AAUACGGGGGAUACAAGCGUUUUCCAAAAUUACUGGGCGUAAAGUGUAUGUAGGUGGAUUGGUAUGUUCUUCCUUAAAUACUAUUUGAUAAAUUUAGAAAAAGGAAGAAAACUAUUAAUCUUGAGUUCGAUAAGGGUAAGAGGAAUUUUUUGAGGAGUAGUGAAAUGCGAAGAUACAAAAAAGAAGAUCAACAGCGAAAGCAUCUUACUGGGUCGAUACUGACACUGAGAUACGAAAGUUAAGGUAGCAAAUGGGAUUAGAUACCCCAGUAGUCUUAACUGUAAACAAUGGAUACUCGGUACUGGAGACAUUAAAUAUAUAAAUUCAGUACCCUAGCUAACGCGUUAAGUAUUCCGCCUGAGUAGUACGCUCGCAAGGGUGAAACUCAAAGGAAUUGACGGGGGCUCGUACAAGCGGUGGAGCAUGUAAUUUAAUUCGAUGUAACGCGAUAAACCUUACCAGAACUAGACUAAAUUUAUUUUAAAUUAUUAAUAUUAAUUAAUAAAAAAUUUACAGGAGGUGCAUGGCUGUCGUCAGCUCGUGUCGUGAGAUGUUGGGUUAAGUCCCG
rnacentral:rRNA from 1 species